rnacentral:rRNA from 1 species
AACGAACGCUGGCGGCAGGCCUAACACAUGCAAGUCGAGCGAAGCCUUCGGGCUUAGCGGCGGACGGGUGAGUAACGCGUGGGAACGUGCCCUUUGCUACGGAAUAGCCCCGGGAAACUGGGAGUAAUACCGUAUGUGCCCUUCGGGGGAAAGAUUUAUCGGCAAAGGAUCGGCCCGCGUUGGAUUAGGUAGUUGGUGGGGUAAUGGCCUACCAAGCCGACGAUCCAUAGCUGGUUUGGGAGGAUGAUCAGCCACACUGGGACUGAGACACGGGCCCAGCCUCCACGGGGGGGCAGCGGGGGGGAAUUUAGACAAUGGGGGAAACCCUGAUCUAGCCAUGCCGCGUGAUCGAUGAAGGCCUUAGGGUUGUAAAGAUCUUUCAGUGGGGAAGAUAAUGACUGUACCCACAGAAGAAGCCCCGGCUAACUCCGUGCCAGCCGCCGCCGUAACAC